GAUGAACGCUGGCGGCGUGCCUAAUACAUGCAAGUCGAGCGAACGGACGAGAAGCUUGCUUCUCUGAUGUUAGCGGCGGACGGGUGAGUAACACGUGGAUAACCUACCUAUAAGACUGGGAUAACUUCGGGAAACCGGAGCUAAUACCGGAUAAUAUUUUGAACCGCAUGGUUCAAAAGUGAAAGACGGUCUUGCUGUCACUUAUAGAUGGAUCCGCGCUGCAUUAGCUAGUUGGUUAGGUAACGGCUUACCAAGGCAACGAUGCAUAGCCGACCUGAGAGGGUGAUCGGCCACACUGGAACUGAGACACGGUCCAGACUCCUACGGGAGGCAGCAGUAGGGAAUCUUCCGCAAAGGGCGAAAGCCUGACGGAGCAACGCCGCGUGAGUGAUGAAGGUCUUCGGAUCGUAAAACUCUGUUAUUAGGGAAGAACAUAUGUGUAAGUAACUGUGCACAUCUUGACGGUACCUAAUCAGAAAGCCACGGCUAACUACGUG
rnacentral:rRNA from 1 species